AUCCUCAUCUCUUCUAAACUUCCAAGUUCCAACUGUCUUCGGCCUGAGCUGUAUGCGAGUAACACUCCAAAAAGACGCUCACAGUGCCGGUGCCGGUGCCCAACUCAUACGCAAAUUGAAUUCCUUUAGAACCUCUGAUAAGUCAUACGCAAAGCUCGAAUUGCAGAAGCUCGUUCCAGCUUUUUUAAAUGCUGAAGGCAAGAAAGGUCGUUGGCAAGGGAGAAGCAAUGGCUGCUCACUAUGCUUUUAGUCCUCAUGAAGAUGAUGUGAUUAUAAAGCACAGGCUUCUCACACGCACUACCACCACAAGAGGUGAACCUCCAUUGAAGAAGCUACAAAAGAAAUUUACUGCAUUUGCCCUUGAGAUUGAGAAGGAUGCAGAUAAUUACAACGAUUGUGAGAGACUUGCAAAGGCCUUUUUGCAGGAGCUUAAUACUUUUGAGAUUCCUCUAUGGAAAAGCAAAGUGGUUAUUGAUGCAAACGUGAGGGAGAAGGAGCAUUUUAACGAGUUGAAUGAUGAAAUAAAUAGCCAGAUUCUUCAAGUUCAGGCAGAAAUUGAAGAUCUAAAGAAAGAACUUGAAGCAAGCAAGAUUGAGAGAAAACACAAGGAGGAGUGUGAGGCAAUACGGAAAAUAAUUGCAAUGCAGCGUCCUAGGUCAGAAACAGAGAGGAUGAUAGCAGCACUGGAGAAAGAGAUAGCUGCCUUGGAAGCAGAAGACACAGCUAGUUCUAGACUGCUGGAACUUCGCAAGAAACAGUUUGCUCUGCUAUUACAUGUGGUUGAUGAGUUACAGAUGACGAUAGAGGAUGAGCAGAAGAGUCUAGCUGAAGAGAUGAAAAAUCUUUCCGACGAGCAGAAGUCGGGAAAAGAACGGAGACUCAUGCCACUCUUCUAACGUCAUGGAUAGAUUAGAGUUCUAUAAUUCGCCGGAGCCGACCGCAUAUUCGCCACCGCCCACCGCCCCCCGCCAGUCUCCGUCGCCGACCUCAGUCAGUUAGUCAGUCGUCACCUCAGUAGUUCAGUCAGGCAUCAAUUUCGGCUUCUAAACUCCAUCAAAUUAACAGGAACGAAUAAGAAGUGUGAGAGAAAAAGAGUGCGGAUAAAUCAAUUUUAUCGACAAGAUCGAAAGCUGGAAUUUUGCAGACAUUUGAAGGACUUGGGAGUGAUGGUGUAGCAUACAUGAAUAAUGAAUUGCUGGUGGAUGAGUUUUGGCUGCAUAAACUUUGUUCUGGAAGGAAAAUUUUUGCUCUAUAUAGUUAGUUAUUCUUCAUUAGAUUGCCUCUCACCAUGGCUCGCUGUCAAUCACCUCAAGUAGCCAACCUGGUCCUACUUUCCUUUGUCAAUUAUAGGAUGUAUUAUAUCUUUUGGAAUUUGAAUUUUAGUGAAAUACCUAAUCUCUAAGCAAAUUUUGGAGUAUGGAAAAAGAUUCAUUGAUUUGUUAUAUUUGAACCUUUGCUACAUUCUUAUUUGUAAACAAAGUUGUUUGAAGUUCUCUUAUGUAGUUUCUAAGUUAUAAAAUGUUCCGCGAUAAUAUUUCAUUUCCUA